rnacentral:misc_RNA from 1 species
GAUGAAGAACGCAGCGAAAUGCGAUAAGUAGUGUGAAUUGCAGAAUUCAGUGAAUCAUCGAAUCUUUGAACGCACAUUGCGCCUUCUAGUAUUCUGGGAGGCAUGCCUGUUUGAGCGUCAUUAAACCUCUCUCAAGUAUGAUUACUUGGAUGUGAAGGAAGAGUACCUUAAACUUAAGGAGUGUUCUCCUUUGAAAUUGAUUAGCAGAUGGUAAUGUUAUUAAAUCCCUGAUGUUGUAAGAAAUAACAGUGGUUUUGUAGACUAUUAUCUAGCUUUAAAUUAUAAUCUUUAUUAUGGUUGACCUCAAAUCAGGUAAGGAUACCCGCUGAACUUAAGCAUAUCAAUAAGCGGAGGA